UACACAAAUAUGAAGGCGGGCUGGAACCUCUCGGGGUUACAGCCUUGCUGAAUUAUUCACCCUUGUCUUUUGCGUACUUCUUGUUUCCUUGGUGGGUUCGCCCACCACUAGGACAAACAUAAACCUUUUGUAAUUGCAAUCAGCGUCAGUAACAAAUUAAUAAUUACAACUUUCAACAACGGAUCUCUUGGUUCUGGCAUCGAUGAAGAACGCAGCGAAAUGCGAUAAGUAGUGUGAAUUGCAGAAUUCAGUGAAUCAUCGAAUCUUUGAACGCACAUUGCGCCCUUUGGUAUUCCAAAGGGCAUGCCUGUUCGAGCGUCAUUUGUACCCUCAAGCUUUGCUUGGUGUUGGGCGUCUUGUCUCUAGCUUUGCUGGAGACUCGCCUUAAAGUAAUUGGCAGCCGGCCUACUGGUUUCGGAGCGCAGCACAAGUCGCACUCUCUAUCAGCAAAGGUCUAGCAUCCAUUAAGCCUUUUUUUCAACUUUUGACCUCGGAUCAG
rnacentral:rRNA from 1 species